UCACUGUCCCUCUUUCAGGAGCAGCAAACUGCCUACAUGGAGUACACACGCCAGGAGACCAUGGCGUGGCACGACCGCCUUCAUGCAUACCAUCAGCAGAGGGAUCGCGAGAUGCAGCACGCUUUUCAGGAAAUGGCGGCCGGCAGGUGUCCUCAAUGGCCAUCAGCAGAGGGUCCUCCAGCACAACCAGUGCUGCUGACCUUUGAGGAGUUUGUGGCACAGAACGCUGGCCCCUCGCCGGGAACAGGUGCAUCUACCGUUGGCGGUGGUCUUCGCAACACUCCCGAGACACGGAGCCCGACCACUCCGAUCCACGGAGACGG